CCUGAAGGAGACAUGGAGUUGGUAUCAGGCCCGCUUGAAUGCGCCGAAAGGCAACCAUUUUUGGCCCAAGACACCUUGCUCAGCCACACCCCCAAGGGUAUUCAGCAGUGAUAGACCUUAAGCUAUAAGCGAAAGCUUUACUCAGUCAAGACUAAGAGAGCCGGUGAAACUCGUGCCAGCCACCGCGGUUAUACGAGAGGCCCAAGUUGAUAGACAGCGGCGUAAAGAGUGGUUAGGGAAACGUUAAAACUAAAGCCGAAAGCCUUCAAGGCCGUUAUACGCCUCCUCGAAGACGGUAAGAACAACUACGAAAGUGGCUAUACCAUACCUGAUCCCACGAAAGCUGAGAAACAAACUGGGAUUAGAUACCCCACUAUGCUCAGCCCUAAACAUUGAUCGAACCUAUUCAAUUCCUUCCGCCUGGGAAUUACGGACACUAGUCUAAAAACCAAAGGACUUGGCGGUGCUUCACACCCCCCUAGAGGAGCCUGUUCUAUAACCGAUAACCCCCGUUAAACCUCACCCUCCCUUGCUUUAUCCACCUAUAUACCGCCGCCGUCAGCUUACCCUGAGAAGGGAUAAACGUGUGCAGAAUUGGCAUAGCCCAAAACGUCAGGUCGAGGUGUAGUGUAUGAGAGGGGAAGAAAUGGGCUACAUUUGCUAGGCAAAAGCAAAUACGAAUGCUUUAUUGAAACAUAAAGCUGAAGGUGGAUUUAGUAGUAAGUAAGAAAUACGAGUGUCUUACUGAAAUUGGCCCUGAAGCGCGCACAUACCGCCCGUCACCCUCACCAAGCACGUAAGAAACAAUAACCUAAUAAGCCCCACCCGCUAAGGGGAGGAAAGUCGUAACAUGGUAAGCGUACCGGAAGGUGCGCUUGGAAAAAUA
rnacentral:ncRNA from 1 species